rnacentral:rRNA from 1 species
AGUUAACGUUGGCGGCGUGCCUAACACAUGCAAGUCGAACGCGUCCUAAGGGCAACUUUAGGAUGAGUGGCGAACGGGUGAGUAUCACGUGGGUAAUCUUCCUUCAAGUGGGGAAUAAGCUCUCGAAAGGGAGUCUAAUACCGCAUGACAUUCCGGGACACAAGUCCCGUAAUCAAAGCCGCAAGGCGCUUGAAGAUGAGCCUGCGUCCUAUUAGCUAGUUGGUGGGGUAACGGCCUACCAAGGCUUAGAUGGGUAGCCGGCCUGAGAGGGUGAACGGCCACACUGGGACUGAGACACGGCCCAGACUCCUACGGGAGGCAGCAGUGAGGAAUUUUGCGCAAUGGGGGAAACCCUGACGCAGCGACGCCGCGUGGAGGAUGAAGGCCUUCGGGUCGUAAACGUCCUGUCAGAGGUGAAGAAUACCCGCAAGGGUUUGACGGUAACCGUCAGAGGAAGCCCGGCGUAACUACGUGCCAGCAGCCGCGGUAAAAGUCGAACGUCG